CGCACCUUGCACCCUCUGGUAUUCCGGAGGGUAUGCCUGUUCGAGUGUCAUGAAAGCAUCGACCGAGUCGGGAGACCGCUCGGCCGGAUUUGGGUGUUGCCGUCCCGGCUCGCCUUAAAAGCAUUAGCGUUGGGUUGGCUGCUUAGUACGGCGAUUAGGUUCCGUCCGAACGGUGGUUGGCUCGCGCUCACAGUUCGCCCUCGGGCACGCCUCCGGGCACUUGACUUUGACCUCGGAUCAGGUAGGACUACCCGCUGAACUUAA
rnacentral:misc_RNA from 1 species